rnacentral:misc_RNA from 1 species
GAUGAAGAACGUAGCGAAAUGCGAUAAGUAAUGUGAAUUGCAGAAUUCAGUGAAUCAUCGAAUCUUUGAACGCAUCUUGCGCUCCUUGGUAUUCCGAGGAGCAUGCCUGUUUGAGUGUCAUUAAAGUUCUCAACCACGUACUUGCAUAUGUGGCUUGGAUGUGGGGGUUUGCAGGCUUUCUCUGAGGGUCUGCUCCUCUGAAAUGCAUUAGUGGUAUUCCUGAGCUUUACUACAGAUGUGAUAAUUUAUCUACAUCUCAAAAGUAUGCUUCAACAACACCGCUCCUAACAAGCGAAAGCACAUUUCGAUGAAUUUGACCUCAAAUCAGGUAGGACUACCCGCUGAACUUAAGCAUAUCAAUAAGCGGAGGA